UGCAUGGAUGGACCCUCCCACUCUCAGAUAUGAAGAGGGGCAGGGAGACAUUUGGGGAAGCUCUGCUUCAGCUGUGGGCACAGAAGGCGACACUCAGGACAAUCUCCAGCAUGGCCUGGGCUCCUCUCCUCCUCACUGUCCUGGCUCACUGCACAGGAUGCUGGGCCCAGUCUGUGCUGACUCAGCCACCCUCAGUGUCUGGGAACCCUGGGCAAAGUGUCACCAUCUCCUGUUCUGGAAGCAGCUCCAACAUCGGAAGUAAUUAUGUCAGCUGGUACCAGCAGCUCCCAGGAACGGCCCCCAAACUUCUCAUCUAUGGUAAUAAUCAGCGACCCUCAGGGGUUUCUGACCGAUUCUCUGGCUCCAAGUCCGGCACCUCAGCCUCCCUGGCCAUCACUGGACUCCAGUCUGCGGAUGAGGCUGAUUAUUAUUGCCAGUCAUAUGACAGCAACCUGAAAGCUCGCACAGUGCUCCAGGCCCAGAGGGAAGAGACCAUAGCUAAGAAGCCAGCCCCUGAUGUGACCCUGUGUCAUCUGCUCACCAUUGGGCUCAGCAGCUGCAUUCUCACAGGAAACUGGGUGCAGCUAGCCUUGCCUUCUUUACCCCACCUGGAAAAUGUGUUUAUGUGA